GAGGCCGAAAGGCGUAGUCGAUGGGAAACAGGUUAAUAUUCCUGUACUUGGUGUUACUGCGAAGGGGGGACGGAGAAGGCUAUGUUGGCCGGGCGACGGUUGUCCCGGUUUAAGCGUGUAGGCUGGUUUUCCAGGCAAAUCCGGAAAAUCAAGGCUGAGGCGUGAUGACGAGGCACUACGGUGCUGAAGCAACAAAUGCCCUGCUUCCAGGAAAAGCCUCUAAGCAUCAGGUAACAUCAAAUCGUACCCCAAACCGACACAGGUGGUCAGGUAGAGAAUACCAAGGCGCUUGAGAGAACUCGGGUGAAGGAACUAGGCAAAAUGGUGCCGUAACUUCGGGAGAAGG
rnacentral:rRNA from 1 species